rnacentral:lncRNA from 1 species
GCAGUUUCCAUGCAUUCUGCUGGGAUGAAGCUGAGACGUGUUAAAUUCAAGGAUUGCUGCAGAGGAUGGGUUUAUGGCGAUCAUGGACAUCUUAUGGGAUCCCUGGUUAAAGUCUUUGAUGGGUUGAGUCCUUCUAGCGGUUUUAGGUUCCAGUCAAGAUGUACACAAUGGCAAGACGCCUUGUCUGAAGUUAUCCAAACAGGACUGUAGUGGACCAAAUUGUGCAUCCGUGCAGAAAGAGAUGCUACAAGGAUUUACUGAUCGAUUGCCAUCUUCAUGUACAGAUUUCAACUGCAUGUUGCUGAAAGCCUUAAGAGGGAGAGGUGGACAAUUUUGUACUUUUCAGUGUAAUGCAAGCUCUUGCUGAAAGCAGCUAAGAGGAACAAAUAAAUGAUUUUGCUGAACUCUGUCUCUUUGACUUUAGAUUUAUCCCAAGGUAACAAGUACUGUGAGUUUUACUAUUGUGCAAGACUGACCUUUUUUUAUAAGCUCAAUUCAUUAACUUAAAGAAAUAAUAAACCAUUUAUUUGUGCAA